rnacentral:rRNA from 1 species
AUACGGAGGAUCCGAGCGUUAUCCGGAUUUAUUGGGUUUAAAGGGUGCGCAGGCGGGAGAUUAAGUCGGCGGUGACAUUUUUCGGGUCAACUGUAAAAGUGGCUUAGAAAACGGUUUCCUUUUGUGUAGAUGAAGUAGGGGGAAAUUGUGGGGUUGGGGGGAAAUGCAUAGAUAUCACGAGGAAAUCCGAUUGCGCAGGCAGCUUACUAAACUACUACUGACGCUCAGGCACGAAGGCGUGGGGAUCAAACAGGAUUAGAUACCCUGGUAGUCCACGCAGUAAACGAUGAUUACUAGCUGUUUGCGAUACAAUGUAAGCGGCUGAGCGAAAGCGUUAAGUAAUCCACCUGGGGAGUACGUUCGCAAGAAUGAAACUCAAAUGAAUUGACGGGG